UGGGGGGGGGGGGUGGGAGGGGAAGAUGAGAUUUUAAAAAAAUUUAUUCCGACCUGCAGAAGUUUGAAAGUGAAAGAAAAUGUGUCAGGUCAUGUUGGUGUUCAGUGCGCGCCUCGUAAAUGCUUGGCUGACUUAAAAAGAGAGAGAGAGAGAGAAAAAAAAAGAAAGAGAAAAAAAAAGAGCAAAGACAUGCAAAAGUUGCGCCUGGCCGCCAGUGACUCGGGUAAAUGAUCUCAUUCGUUUCGCCGUGCAUCAUAGCAGCAAGAACUGGAAGGAGGACAAUGAAACGAGGAACUGCUGACUUGCGUUUCCAGUGUUCACUGGCGACUUUCUGAUGAAGAGGAGGAUGAAGGGAGACAAACUGGGCAGAGACACGACGAGGAGGCAGAUUCACCUCAGCUCUUGAAGGCAUGUUUCCACUGCCUUCGCCCAUCAUGACGAGCGCCGGGGAAACCACCUGCUCUCAGCUUUUCUGGUAACAUCAGCUCACUCAGCUGUACAAAGCAGCACUGGACCAGUUACGGCACGCAAAAAAAUGAUGAGGUCCUUUCCCCUCCAGUCACUGCAGAUUCCACCUCCGGCAGUGAAGAGGAAGGUGGGAAAAGGAGCGCUGGUGUACUUGCAGACGCCACUGAGCAACACUCACAGCUGCUCUCAAACAGCGCCUGGUAGGAGGAGAGGAAGGAGAGAGAGAGAGGACAAACGAUGGCAAGAAUCAUCCGUCUGUCUCUGGAGACUGAGGCAUAAUCAGCGUACAGGAGAUUCAUCUUUUUCUCCAGCGAAACAUGUUACUUUUGGAUUAUCUGUGUCUUUUAAUAGGCUAGGAAUGUCAAUUUUGUGAUUACUGUAAUUUUUUACUUGUUUGUUUGUUGUUGAAGGAGUAAAAACAGACCGCCAGCUCCGGCUUACCUCAACUUGUCGUCUACGACACUUCAUUGUAGUCAGUAAAGACAAUACCUACUUAAAGUGUAAUAAUAAUUUAAAAAAACAUACUACAUUUUAUGAGAUCACAAUCUAGGGAAAUGUAAACCCAAAGUUCAGAGGAGGUCACAUUUUGAUGCGGUUUUAAUUUUGUCGCAUUUCCACUUUCAUUUCACAAUUAUGUGUAGUGACCAUAUUGUGAUGUCCAACACAGUCCUAAAACGCUUCAAUCAAACACUUUUGAUCCUUUGAAUGCUUCAUCACGGUCUGUCCACAUUUAACCAUCUACUCCACGUCACACUCCUCCCUGGAUCUAAACCUCUGCAAACCAGUGAUCGGUUUCCGACUCACACCUCAACAUAUCCUUUCAUUUGUUCAGUUUUCCUCACAGUGUACCACUCUCCCGUGCUAAGGGAAAGCCCAGGAGCAGACAGUCACACCACUUCCUGUGUCAUAAUAAACCCGUUAGCUUCGACCACUGUCUGCUGAGAGUUUACUCAAAUGCGGGUCAGAAGUUUGCCUCAAGAUUUGACGCUCUGAGUAAAUGCGGCCCAAAGCCUUGCAGCAGAAGUGACACGUUCGACAUCUUGAAAAAUACAGUACACGUUAUCUAAGUGAUUCAUUUGGGUGGUGUUGCAUUUAUGGGGAGAAUGAGUUUGAGUCAGAGUUCUUUUGGUGUUGUCACUGAACUAUCGGACAGUUUAGUCAACCACUUCUUUAGACCCGCAGAGGGCACUUAGUGAUGAAAAUUGAUGAGUCACUAAAUCGCAGCGAACCUUUUUUCGCUAAUAGCAUAAGUUGAGUUGUUUGACUCGUAACCCAGACAACAGAAGCUCUAGCUUUUCCAGAGAACUGUUAAGUUCCCUCAUUUGAAACUCAUUAUGUAGCCAAAUGUAUUGGGUCAUCAUCACACUGAGCCAUUGAAUUCAGGUCUUCCAGUCACUUCUUCUUCACUUCUAUGGACACAGGUGUUUGAUAUGGCGCAGCUCAGCGUGAAGCUCCUGCAAACAUUUACGAUGAAAUGGUUUGAAUUCCAGUGUGGUGCUUUCUGGGAAGCCACCUGUGCAAAAACAAGUGAGAUCGUAAAAUUUCCUCACUGCUAAAUUCCAAAGUCUGCUCCUCGUGGUAUUGUGACAAAGUGGAAUGGAGUUUUGCAAAGUCAAUAACUGCAGACCUCCAGGCUUUAUGUGGCGAUGUCAUUAUAUAAAUCGCCAGAUGCUGUGGUGUGAAGCAUCCUGCCACCGGACUCUAGAGCAGCGGAGUCAUGUUUCCUGCAGUGGUGAAUCAUGUUCCUCUGUCUAAGGAAGAACAGACUUACUUGACUGAACUGUGUCGCGCAUAAAGUUUGGUUCAGGGGUAAUGACGGUAUGAUAAUUUGGUGCUUGUAACUUUGUGGGAACAGUCUAGAGAUGACCCGCUCUUCAACAGGACGGCUGAAGUGCACAAAGCAACGUCAAAGACUUGGACUAGCAAGAUCAGUGCGGAGAAACUUGACUCCGCACUGAGUCAAGUUCAGAGAUCUCAACUCUUUGAACGUUUUUGGUGUGAAUUUGAACGGAGACUGUAAAUUAGGACACCUUGUCACACUCCUAAGCCUCAGAGAGUUGGAGCUGUGACACAAGUAUGCCUCCAUUUGACCCAUCGCCUAGUGGAGAAGUGGUGCAAGUUGCUAGCGCAAAGUGUCUGUCUUUGGUAAAUACUUGUUUAAAUGGCAAACAACAGAAAUUGUGAGAGUGAAGGCCAGAAAACGGGAGCGGGGGAAAAAACACAACAAAACAAAAAGGAACAAGACAGUAAACUGGAAGGUUGCGUUUAAAAUGAUUUAGGAGAGAUGCAGAGGAGCCAUUUUGCUUCUCUUCCACUCAAUGUCAUGGAGGGACUGAGACCAAAAUCAUUAACCCUGCUAACCAGAGCAUAUCGACCUUACCAGAGCAUGAGCCUGUGCCCAAAUGCUGGUCCAUGAGGUAAAAGUGGUCAUGGAGCCAUAAACAAUUUUGACUGCCUCAACCGUGUCUGUCAAGGAGUCAUGGAGUACAGACUCUGCAUGAUUGGUGGGCUGAGAGAAAAAUGAAGUGCUGCCAAAACAAAGAUGCUAAUUUUAAAGCCUCUGAACCAGCACACAAACAACAGAAACAGGUCUUCUCUAGAUUUCCCCUCAGUUGCAUCCUGGUAAACAUUGGGUACAUCCCAAGAUAGUGUCUGCUUACUCUACGUCUUUUGGAGCAGAGUUUUCCAUUCCAUGUUGCAUUUUCAGUGAUGUUAAAAGCUUGUGAUGUGGCGAAACAGGCUUCAGUACAAAGGCUUCAUGGCCCAGCAGUAUUAACCUAUUUUGCACAGGGAAUAGAGGGAUGAAUACACAGAUACAGUUUGAAUCAGAGUGUGUAUUGUGGGCUAAAGCUUUGAGAAGAAUUGUUGCUGUUUGUCAGGACAUUUUGUAGGCCGACGAUUUCCUUCCUACGCAACUCUGCUCGAUUCCAAUCUCCCUUCACUGCUCCGCCUGGACUUUCUUCCAUUCAAAUGGAUUUCUCCUGUAGAAUCUCACCUGGCCAAUCAGCGAAAAGAAGAAGUUGUGAACAAAGAUUUAGAUUUUUUUUUUUUUUGCAUUGUUUUAGACUGUCUGUAGUUUUAGCAAUGGCAGCAGAGAAAGUGAACGAAGCCAGUAAGUCCGUGUUGGCCAAGCUUCCAGAUAUCAAAUCAAUAUUAACAGCCAUCUUGAUUGACUCGUAAAAACUGGUAAAAACCAGCACUUUGCUCCACACUUCAUACAGAGGGUUUGGACCCUCAGUUGUUAGGAAAUGACUGCUUCCUGGAGACAUGGUCUCCGUUGUUGAUUUGAAUAUGACCCAAUCGCUAACGUUUGACCGUGACAUAUGUAAUAUGCCGGUUUGAUGCUACAAAGCUAACUGGAAAUUGUGUGCGCUUGUAACCUUUCUACACUAAUGGCAAUACAAAGUAAAAAAAAGAAAAAAGUAUCGACUUAAUUAUAAAACUAAUAAAUUAAAUGGAUAAAAUGAUGCAACAGAUUCAACUUAAAUACAAUAAUUGUGACUCAACAUGUUCGUCUUGGAGUAGCUUUACAAAUGCUGCUGCUGGAACAAAACGCAGCGUUUAAAAACAGGGUUUCUUAAUGGGGAAGAGAGAAUUGAAGAGAGAAUUGCCAAGCAGAACAAGAUGACUGUUAAUGGCUGUCAUUGUUCAUAACUCCUCUUUCUGUUCGCUGAAAUUUUACCGGAGAAAUCCAUAUCAAUGGGAGAAAACCCAGACGGAGUACUGAAGAGGGAUUAAAAUAGAGCAAAAUUGCGUAGGAAGGAAAUGGCACUACAUAACUAUCAUUAUUCAUAUUCAUAUUAUUAUGGAUAGAGCUCCUAAAAUGGCUCUAGCCAUGCGCUCCUCUACGUUCUUCUGCUGCCUGCUAGCCUUCAGGUCAGAUCCAAUAACAUCUCAGUUGCAUUGAACUGAGACUGUAGGCAGUAAUCAGAUAACAUUCACCACAGAAGAGGUGGUGAGUUUAUCAUGGAGACGGUCACCUGUGUCUCUCACCAGAAUGCUUUCCUGGUCCCCCCCAGUCAGAGCAAACAUUGUAAUGGUCUCUCUGUUCGUUUAACCAGGGAAUCUCAAAGGCGAAUGUAGUUGAUGUUCGCUCUCGGUGCUCUGCAUGUCUGAAUGCAGCUCAACAGGGUCAGCGCCGUGGGGAUUACCGAAUUUCUUUUAAGGACUCUAUUAAAAUAUUUCCUUGAGCCCUUCUCUGAAAGUUGUAAUCUAAUCCAUUCGUCUUUUCAGCUAUCUAAGCAUUAUCGAAGCGUUUAUGAUAAAGAGACUGUUUCUUGGGCAGUCGCAGAUACAAAUCAGAAGGAUGAAGCAUGUUUACUUUAAUGUGUGUGAUAUAGAUUCCACUUUCAAGCAGAACGUGAGCCACACACCCCACUACCAGCUUCUGUGUAUCUGCAUGUAUGCACAAUGGCUGAUAGCAGGUGUGUGUGUGGGGGGGGGGGGGGCGCGUGUGGGUGUGUGUGUGUGUGUGUGUGUGUGUGGACAUUAACUUCCAAAAAUGGUUGAAGCUGCCAAGAACCGAGUUGUUUUCAGAGUCAUGUUACUGCUUUUACUGUUUUCUCAGAAAUAUUUACACAAGCAGCAACGUUGCCUCAGUUUGUGGCAUACCAUACCAAAGUCAUAUCAUAAGUCAUGAAUUGAAUUUGUUGUGAAAUUAGAACAAUUCACAGCGGUAAAAAAAAAAAAAAAAAAGAUCACUUCCUCAUUUAGGCUCCAUUUCUGGGAAAUCAAGGCAUCUCUCAAGGUACAGUCAGGCAUCAGAUGUUUUUGUCACUUUAGUGCCAGUAAUCGUGCCUCUUUUUUCCUGUGAUUCUUUUCAAAGCUUUUCUGGUUUUAUUUCUGGUGAUUUUGAGAAAUAACUUCACAUGCCACAGUGUGAACAGCUCAGUCGAGCUGCUUAAACUAGUGGCUUUUUCCAGCUCACACAGCUACGAUGUGGCUUGUGCCUACGGUGGCCCUGGAGUGCAAAAUGCAAAUUUAAAACCGGAAACAAAAACAUUUCAGGACAGUCAUUUCUGAAAACCCAAAAGCGAAACAGGAAACCAAGUCUUAGAGCACAUGAUUCUUAGCAAUACAGCUUUUUGGGAAAAAGGAAAUAAAAAAAAACAAAAAACUUUUGCAGUUACAAAACAGAAACAGCUGAAACAGAUUAGCAAUCAUGAAACUAAAUGGAAAAGAAUCAAAUCAAAACACGACUGAUUUGGUUAACAUCACGUCCAGAUAUACUGUAUUUACUUAAUGAGUUUUUCAGAAACAACCGAGAAACAUGACAGGACUACACUGUCACGUGUUUCUCAAUUGUUUGUGCCCCAAAGCCACAAAAGACAUCUAAAUACCCAUUAAUGAUAAUUAUAUGUGCACCAUUAAAUUCUCACCAGUAAGUACAUAUGGUGAAUAUACAGUAAGUAGUUUUUUGUAACUUGGUUAAUUCUCACUCACUCCAGACGUUUGUGCUGGAUAGCAAUUGUGUAUAUUUUGAACUUUUAAAAUACGCGAUGUAGUUUCACGUGAGCACAUGUUACAAAAAGAAACAAUUUAAAAAAAUUAAAAUGUUUUCAUUUCAAAGUGCAUUUUUUUAGGCACAAUGGUUUUGUUUUUUUUGCACAGUUUACUUACAUAAAAUUGUGAAUAAAUUCUAAAUAUAUAUAUAAAAACAACAUUUACUUUAACAGAAGAAUGUAAUGGUCUGGUAAUGUGUUAACUUAAAUAAAUAAACCUUUAAUGUUUCUUACUAAAGAUAGCUGACUGUGCAUUUAUGGUCAUAGUUUUUAAUUUUAACUCACAAUUUUGCUCCUGUUAUUAUUUUAAAGUCAGAGUAGUUUUGAAUUGGUAGUGAAUUGGUAUGCUAUCUGUAGCGUGGUUAUCCCUAUUUUUGCUCUGACUCAUUGAUGAUCAGACUCAUAGCAUAGUGAUCUCAUCUAAGGGAACUCAUCUAUUGAUCACAUGCAAGCAAACUGUACACCAUAGAUUGUUCUGCUGCUUCACAAACUUACAGCUACAUAUGUUGUAAACGCUGGGAAACGUAAUGACUAAUGUUUAAGCUGCGCAAAUCAUAGCGCCCCUUGCUUCACCAGAGGGAGCAGAGGAGGCCGCGUGAUAGACAGAAGGCCUCUGCCAUCUUCGUUUCAUUUCCAUCUGUACUGUAGUGUAAAAUCCAGAUGUUGUAAUAACUAAAAACAAAAUGACAUGGGUGAACUAUUGAAGUUUUGUGAGCAGCAAAAACUUAGAAAACAGUCAGUUUUGUUUGAAAGGAACCACCCGAAAAGCGGCUGCGUGUCUCUAGGGUCACGGCUGAUGUGCUGUCAGACAGCUGACCGUCACUAGGUCAUGUGUCUAUACCAACACCAGCCCUUCAUAAAGUUUACAUUGGUUUUAACAGAAAAUGUGACAACAAAUUUUUAAUACUAAGUAUGCAAUACAAUUGGUUAUUUUUUUAGCCAUUUAUUGCACAUGUAUUCAGUUCAAUAUCAUUAAUUACAGAGAUAGAGUCCAAAAAAAAAAAAAACAAUCAGGUUUUGUAUGUCUUCUCAAGCUUUCACCUACAUUGAAGG